UACGUUAGCGCGAUUUGCUAACAUGGCAACAAAUCGCGUCCUAGAGGGCGCGAUUUGUUGCCACGUCAGCAAAUCGUACUGAUGUGG
rfam:Gossypium raimondii Chr07_contig_611, whole genome shotgun sequence.